AGCCCAUGGAAAGGGAAAAGUCUUAGCAAAUCUUUAUAACGCUCCCACAUGUCAAACAAGGACUCUCCUUCUUCUUGCCGAAAGUUGUUGAUCUCAUUCCUAACUCC